UCAUGCUAUGUCUCUAGUGGUUAGGUAUAACUUUGCCCCCCCCCACCCCACCCCAGUUCCGACGCCUAUGCAGUAGGUGGGUCGGUAUACACUGCACUUAUUUGUUCAUUGGAUUGUACUUGUUUAUUCUCGUUAAAACUCGAUAACAUGCACACUGUGUCAAUAAUACAUGUAUGGUCAAAUCUAUGGCUCAACAUAUAGACAUUCAAUUGAAUUGUAAACAGGUAUAUUUUUUUAUUUACAUUUUUGUAUCAAUUUUAUUUACAUGUACACAGUUUGUUGGAUAUGCCUACCAAGUUUAAUUCACUUGCUUAUGAAUUUUUAUCAUGACAAAAAUCUAUGAUCAUUCGCUGUAAAUUGAUAACUUUACUUUAUUUUUGUUUUAACCUUGACAGUAGUGUAAUAAUGGUGUUUAAAAUUAAAUUCAAUCGACAGGUUUUCAGUUUUAGUUUAUUUUUGUUUUAACCUUGACACUUUUUUCAAGUUGGUUGUUUAACGAUUAAACUUGCCACGCAUAUUGAGAUAAAGUUACAUAAUCAUGUGCUUUAGAUGAACAAACCACUUAAAGAACAGGCGGAAAUGAAUUCUGGUUUUUUUUCUCAACAUAAUAUCGUCCUAAUUAAAGAUUCGGUUUCGGUUGAUUCAAUGUAAAACGGUCAAGUACAGUGGGUGGGUCGGUAUACACUGCACUUAUAUGUUCAUUGGAUUGUACUUGUUUAUUCUCGCCUUCAGGCUUGUCAGCAUUGUCAGAGGGACUUGAAUUGAAAGUACCUGACAGAAACUGGGUGAAAGCGCACGAUAUCAAUGGUGCUUAAAAAAUAACAUCGAGUCUUCGUAACCAAAUAACGAUAAUCAUUGUGAGCAUAUAGGCUUGGGGUAAAAUGCUGAAGAUAAACCCUCCACUUUGGAGGGUCCAUGGUGGAGGGAUGGAGCUUGGUGUGUCAUUCUUAAUUCAGAGUCUGUUUGAUCUGUCAUUCCAAUUUCAUCAUGUACCUAAUAGCUAAAACAUAUCGGUUGUUUAUUAGAAAUUUAAAAAAAGGAAAGGGCGGUCCUAACAUUAAUGAAUUGAGCAACUUCAAAUGAACUUUAUCAGGAUACAUAAAUUACUCUAUGUUUGUGUAACAAUUUUUCUGAGUCCAGUGAGACUGUGAAGAGGAAGUUAACUCACCCCAACGUUGAGAGAGAUUUAUCUUUUUACCCCCAGUAACAAAUGUUAAUAUAUUAAUAGUAAAAAAAUGCAAUGGAUGUGGACAAUUUUUUACAGAAAAAUUAAGAAAACCACCCAAUGAUCUUGUUCUUAAACAGUAUGAUUAUCAGAAAUAUCUGAGUCCGAAUUCCAAGUCACCAUAACACCCCUGCGAAUGUGUUCGGAAUGUUUUCUUUAUCGUUGCUAAGUAUGUAAUAAAUCCAAAGGUGCUCGAAUGAAAGUUCUCGAGACUUCACCGAGAUUUGUUCAGUUCCUGUGAAAUUUCGUGCGGAAGUAUAAGUGUUCGGAUCAUAUUCUCAAAAUACGUAAGUACUGGUCGAUUUUCAUAUCAUAUUCUACUUUGAUUUAUGUUAAAACAUAAACAUCUUUUAAGAUGUAUGUCUUUUUUCACCAUUUAGCGGGGUUUUUUUUAAAAUUAAACGAUGAUAUUCAGAAUAGAGUUAUCGUUCGUGUUCAACCACGUGUAUAGUGGUUGAUAAUAUAAACAUUGGAUUGCUUAAAAAAAAUCAUAGCCAUGUUUGAUGCUUGUGGUGUGCAAUAUAAUGUUUUAAAAAAAAAUAGUGGGUGAAUGUUUUGCAUAAAAACUUAGUAUAUCGAGCCAUUUUCAAGGAGCAUUCUGCAUAAAAUAGUACAGUCUGUUUCACUAUUAAUGUUAUUACUAGGUCAGGCGCGGAUCGAAACUUAAUUCUUAAGGGGGAUCUCUACUACGCAUGUUAAUUGUCGCAACAGCAGAAAAAUAACUAUUUUUUGUAUUUGUAUUUAUUUCUAGAACACAUUUUAUACACCAGUUAAUGAAGAUAAAGUUUAAAAUCAAUAAACCUCUAGAAUUUAUUUUUGACUACAAGUACCUAGAUUCUCUAAAAUAGACUAUAAACACGAGGCACGAUUUUUACUGCGAAACUGAAGGGGUCAAAUAAAACCACGUGGUCUAAAAUUUAAAUGACAAUAACAUUCGCAGGGGUGCAUAAGUGUCAGCUUUGUUGAAAAAAUACGUAUUAACGAUGCGGAUUGUUUUCGGAGACAA